GUCGAUUUCAAAUGAACUCCCAUGAUUCGUUUGCAGAAUUUUAAAUGUAACUUUUCAGUAGCAUUCCGUAUUUUGAACAUUUUAUUCUUAAAGGUGAUCUACAGUCCGUAUGUAAACAAAGCCUUUGUUUACAUUUUUGUGUCCAAAAUAUUGAGCUUUAUUCGACAACUAUUUAUAUUUUCAAGCUUCUAGAGUAUAAUAAAUGAUCAAGAAACAACAAUCAGGC
rnacentral:lncRNA from 1 species